UACGGAGGGUGCGAGCGUUAAUCGGAAUUACUGGGCGUAAAGCGCACGCAGGCGGCCGGAUAAGUCGGAUGUGAAAGCUCUGAGCUUAACUUGGAAACUGCAUUCGAUACUGUCUGGCUAGAGUAUGGGAGAGGGAAGCAGAAUUUCCGGUGUAGCGGUGAAAUGCGUAGAUAUCGGAAGGAAUACCAAUGGCGAAGGCAGCUUCCUGGCCCAAUACUGACGCUAAGGUGCGAAAGCGUGGGGAUCGAACAGG
rnacentral:rRNA from 1 species